rnacentral:pre_miRNA from 1 species
GGCUUUUUGAAUCUGUACUGAGGUUUUAUCAGAUUCUAAUCCACCAGAGCUGAUGAGACUUCCAAGAUAAGUAGAGUG